GACAUCACUUGCGGACCUCCCAGAAUCACCCAGAAGGAGGAAAAGCCAGCAUUCCCAGCCCGCCCCCAGAGUGAUUCCAGGAGAUUCAGACCCUAUAAGGCAGUGAAGCUCUGUGAACAGCAAAGAUAGAGUUUUGAAAGAUUUCUUGUUCUUGGCGACGUGGGGAUUUCACAAACAGGAAAAACUGCUUUUACUUUUCCUAAAGAGGAACCAUUUAUGCCUCAUGAUGCAUUGAUGCCUGGAACUGGGCUCGCUUUAAAGUAGAGCGGAAGUGUAAGAAAUGCUCUUAGCAGAGGACAAGCAGAGUUUUAACCUUACAGGUGUGAAUCCUGAGGAAACACGCAGCGUGGGUGUGAGAUGAGGGGAAACCCUAUUGUUACAGCUGCCAAAAGCAAAACAAGACCUAUGAUGUUUCCUUGCUCUUUGUGUAUCAACUCAAGCAGAAGGCAGAAAGAUGUCACAGUGGAGGAGGAUCAACACAACACAUUACUGCUGUGUCAUUACUCAACUCCUAGAGAACACAAUGGAAAACUCCUGAUUAAUGACUUGGAGAGUUGGAGACCACAUCACUGAUGUGCUUUUUCUAUCUAAAAGAAUAUGUGAUCUGAAGAAAACCAAGAUAAUAAAUCCCCAGAGAAAUACCAGGUCUUCUCCCAGAAGAAUGCUUAAAAUUCUGA